AUACGGAGGGUGCAAACGUUAAUCGGAAUUACUGGGCGUAAAGCGCGCGUAGGUGGUUUAGUAAGUCGGAUGUGAAAGCCCUGGGCUCAACCUGGGAAUUGCAUUCGAUACUGCUUGACUAGAGUAUGGUAGAGGGAAGUGGAAUUUCCGGUGUAGCGGUGAAAUGCGUAGAUAUCGGAAGGAACACCAGUGGCGAAGGCGACUUCCUGGGCCAAUACUGACGCUGAGGUGCGAAAGCGUGGGGAGCAAACAGGAUUAGAUACCCCAGUAGUCC
rnacentral:rRNA from 1 species